GACGAACGCUGGCGGCGUGCUUAACACAUGCAAGUCGAACGGUGAAGGGGUCUGCUUUUGUGGGCCCUGGAUGAGUGGCGAACGGGUGAGUAACACGUGAGUAACCUGCCCCCUUCUUCUGGAUAACCGCAUGAAAGUGUGGCUAAUACGGGAUAUUCUGGGUCUGUCGCAUGAUGGGUCUGGGAAAGAUUGCGCCUUUGGGUGUUUUUGGUGGGGGAUGGGCUCGCGGCCUAUCAGCUUGUUGGUGGGGUGAUGGCCUACCAAGGCGGUGACGGGUAGCCGGCCUGAGAGGGUGGACGGUCACACUGGGACUGAGACACGGCCCAGACUCCUACGGGAGGCAGCAGUGGGGAAUAUUGCACAAUGGGCGCAAGCCUGAUGCAGCGACGCCGCGUGAGGGAUGGAGGCCUUCGGGUUGUAAACCUCUUUCGCCAGUGAAGCAGGCCUGCCCCUUGUGGGUGGGUUGACGGUAGCUGGAUAAGAAGCGCCGGCUAACUACGUG
rnacentral:rRNA from 1 species